GACAGAGGGUGCAAACGUUGUUCGGAAUGACUGGGCGUAAAGCGCGUGUAGGCGGCUCGGCAAGUCGGGUGUGAAAGCCCUGGGCUCAACCCAGGAAGUGCACUCGAAACUGCCGAGCUCGAGUUCCGGAGAGGAAGGCGGAAUUCUCGGUGUAGAGGUGAAAUUCGUAGAUAUCGAGAGGAACACCGGUGGCGAAGGCGGCCUUCUGGACGGCGACUGACGCUGAGACGCGAAAGCGUGGGGAGCAAACAGG
rnacentral:rRNA from 1 species